AGGAAACGAAAUAUUUGGUCAUUACUUUCGACCUUACAAUUAGUUAUUUGGCCCAAGAGCGGAUGGAAGCCCGUGCCUCUGGUGGACUUGAUAGAAGGAAGUGCAGUGAAGAGAGCAUACCAGAAAGCCAUGCAGUAUUUGCACCCUAUAAGCUCCAACAAAAAGGAGUCGCUUCUCAUCAAAAAUACAUUGCAGAGAAAGUCUUUGACAUUCUACAGGAAGCAUGGGAUCAUUUCAAUUCGCUUGGUGGGAUCUGAUCAGAAUUAAGAAGCGAAGUAAAUAUCACCCUCCCAGCAAGUAAGCACACAAAAACUGGAAUAGUGAAAUCUC